rnacentral:rRNA from 1 species
GACGAACGCUGGCGGCGUGCUUAACACAUGCAAGUGGAGCGACGAAGCGGGCUUCGGCCCGUGGCAGAGCCGCGAACGGGUGAGUAACACGUGGGUAACGUGCCCCAAUGACUGGGACAACCCGGGGAAACCCGGGCUAAUACCGGAUGUACUCCUUCCACAUCAGUGGAUUGAGUAAAGGUAGCUUCGGCUUCCGCAUUGGGAUCGGCCCGCGGCGCAUUAGCUUGUUGGUGGGGUAAAGGCCUACCAAGGCAACGAUGCGUAGCUGGUCUGAGAGGACGAUCAGCCACACUGGGACUGAGACACGGCCCAGACUCCUACGGGAGGCAGCAGUGGGGAAUCUUGCGCAAUGCGCGAAAGCGUGACGCAGCAACGCCGCGUGAGGGAAGACGGCCUUCGGGUUGUAAACCUCUUUCAGGAGGGACGAAGCCUGGCUGGUGAAUAGCCUGUCCAGGUGACGGUACCUCCACAAGAAGCCCCGGCUAACUACGUGCCAGCCGCCGCGGUAAAAC